AAGAUAGAUAACAAUGAGAUGAUUCAUUAUAUCUUGGCCGGUCUUGAUUUUGAAUACAACAUGUUUGUUACUUCGAUGCUUGGCCGGGUUGGGUCAAUCUCUCUGAGUGAUCUAUACUCCCAACUAUGGUCCUAUG